rnacentral:piRNA from 1 species
GUACAGGACAACCCACAACGUGU